UGAGGAUGACAGAGAACAGUGGACACACAGUUUAACAUGAUGGACUAUAGGACAGGACUGCUGCUGUUAACUAUCUGCUGGGCAGGUGUUGAUGGUCAGACUCUGACAGAAUCUGAACCAGUGGUUAAAAGGCCUGGAGAAUCUCACAGAUUGACCUGCACAACCUCUGGAUUGUCAUUUAGCAGCUACUGGAUGGCCUGGAUCAGACAGGCUCCUGGAAAAGGACUGGAGUGGGUUGCCACUGAUGGUGGUGGUAGUAGCAAAUACUACUCUCAGUCAGUUCAAGGCCGGUUUACCAUCUCUAGAGACAACAGCAGAGAGCAGCUGUAUCUGCAGAUGAACAGUCUGAAGACUGAAGAUUCUGCUGUUUAUUAUUGUGCUCGACACCCACAGUGAGACAGGAAGGAGCAACGCUGUACAAAAACUUACAGUACUCAUCCAAACUGGACUGAUGGACUAAGAGAAACAAUAAUUUCAGUUAUUUUGAAGAAAUACAUGAAAACUGAAAUAUUAUUAACCAACAAUUAUUAACAACAAUAACCUUUGAAUAAAUAAAAUGUUUCAAUGAUCAGUUCCUCACUGAUCAAGGGCAGCACAACAAUCACAAAAAUACUACAUGUAUAUUUCAGUCAUAUUAACCCUCAUCCUAACCUACUGUUUUUAUACUCUGACGAUCAUUCAACAA